rnacentral:tRNA from 1 species
GGUUCAAAUCCCCUCUUCAACA